rnacentral:RNase_P_RNA from 1 species
AAAAGCAGAUGCGAUGAUCGUUCCGUAUCGUAGUGAUAACGGAAAGGAAAGUCCGAACUCCUUAAGGCGCGGAACUGGCCGAGAUUUCCAAGAAAUGCAAGGUCGGGUGAUGAUCGCGAAAGCGGUGAUCAACGGAUAGUGGAACAGAAAAUAAACCGCCACGCCGAUGGUGUGGUAAGGGUGAAACCGUGCGGUAAGAGCGCACGUGGUGUUUGCGCAAGCGGCGCCAUGCUAAACCCUUCCGGGAGCAAGAUCAAAUAAGAAGAAGUCCCGCAAGGGGCGGGCCGCCUGCCUGAUUCGCAAGAGCUUCUUCGGGUAGAUCGCAUUCCGUCGCAUGGUAUCAUGCCGGUCAUGAUGCCGUGAACGGGAUUUCCGGCUUGCCGGAAAAGAUAAAUGAUCAUCCGUAUGCUUCGGCGUACGAACAGAAUUCGGCUUACGAUCUGCUUUUCAAU